GACGAACGCUGGCGGCGUGCUUAACACAUGCAAGUCGAACGGAAAGGCCCUGCUUUUGUGCGCUGCUCGAGUUGCGAACGGGUGAGUAACACGUGAGUAACCUGCCCCUGCCUUUGGGAUAACUUCAUGCAACUGGGUCUAAUACCGGAUAGGAGCUCUUGCUGCAUGGUGGGGGCUGGAUAGUUUCGGCGGUUGGGGAUGGACUCGCGGCCUAUCAGCUUGUUGGUGGGGUAGUGGCUUACCAAGGCCUUGACGGGUAGCCGGCCUGAGAGGGUGACCGGCCACAUUGGGACUGAGAUACGGCCCAGACUCCUACGGGAGGCAGCAGUGGAGAAUGUUGCACAAUGGGCGGAAGCCUGAUGCAGCAACGCCGCGUGCGGGAAGACGGCCUGCGGGUAGUAAACCGAUUUCGCCUGUGACGAAGCGUGAGUGACGGUAAUGGGUAAAGAAGCACCGGCUAACUACGUG
rnacentral:rRNA from 1 species